rnacentral:tRNA from 1 species
GUAAAGAUGCCAGAAAAUUUACAUGGGAUUAAUUUAGGAUUAAUUUAUGACUAGAGUCUCUUUACU